UGCAAGUCGAACGCGGUUACCGCAGUUCCGCAAGGAAUUGUGGUGACUGAGUGGCGAACGGGUGAGUAACGCGUGGGUGACCUACCUUCGAGUGGGGAUAACGUCCCGAAAGGGACGCUAAUACCGCAUGACAUCCUGCCUUUGAACAGGCGGAGAUCAAAGCUGGGGAUCGUAAGACCCGGCGCUUGAUGAGGGGCCCGCGUCCGAUUAGCUAGUUGGCGAGGUAACGGCUCACCAAGGCGACGAUCGGUAUCCGGCCUGAGAGGGCGGACGGACACACUGGGACUGAGACACGGCCCAGACUCCUACGGGAGGCAGCAGUGGGGAAUUGUUCGCAAUGGGCGCAAGCCUGACGACGCAAUGCCGCGUGGAGGAUGAAGGUCUUCGGAUUGUAAACUCCUGUUGCCAGGGACGAAUGGCUUCGACCUAAUACGUCGAAGUAUGACGGUACCUGGUGAGGAAGCCCCGGCUAACUCUGUGCCAGCAGCCGCGGUAAUACAGAGGGGGCGAGCGUUGUUCGGAAUUACUGGGCGUAAAGGGCGCGUAGGCGGCCCGCUAAGUCGAACGUGAAAUCCCCAGGCUCAACCUGGGAACUGCGUCCGAUACUGGCAGGCUUGAAUCCGGGAGAGGGAUGUGGAAUUCCAGGUGUAGCGGUGAAAUGCGUAGAUAUCUGGAGGAACACCGGUGGCGAAGGCGGCAUCCUGGACCGGUAUUGACGCUGAGGCGCGAAAGCUAGGGGAGCAAACGGGAUUAGAUACCCCGGUAGUCCUAGCCCUAAACGAUGAAUGCUUGGUGUGGCGGGUAUCGAUCCCUGCCGUGCCGAAGCUAACGCAUUAAGCAUUCCGCCUGGGGAGUACGGUCGCAAGGCUG
rnacentral:rRNA from 1 species